rnacentral:rRNA from 1 species
AGCGAACGCUGGCGGCAGGCUUAACACAUGCAAGUCGAGCGGGCACUUUCGGGUGUCAGCGGCGGACGGGUGAGUAACGCGUGGGAACGUGCCCUCUGGUUCGGAAUAACUCAGGGAAACUUGAGCUAAUACCGGAUACGCCCUUUUGGGGAAAGGCUUGCUGCCGGAGGAUCGGCCCGCGUCUGAUUAGCUAGUUGGUGAGGUAACGGCUCACCAAGGCGACGAUCAGUAGCUGGUCUGAGAGGAUGAUCAGCCACACUGGGACUGAGACACGGCCCAGACUCCUACGGGAGGCAGCAGUGGGGAAUAUUGGACAAUGGGCGCAAGCCUGAUCCAGCCACGCCGCGUGAGUGAUGAAGGCCUUAGGGUUGUAAAGCUCUUUUAUCCGGGACGAUAAUGACGGUACCGGAGGAAUAAGCCCCGGCUAACUUCGUG